CCCUUAGAUGUCCUGGGCCGCACGCGCGCUACAAUGACUCACUCAGAAAGUUUUUCCUGAUCCGGAAGGAUUCGGGUAAUCUUCAUAGCAUGAGUCGUGUUAGGGAUCGAUCUUUGCAAUUAUAGAUCUUGAACGAGGAAUGCCUAGUAAGUGCAGCUCAUCAGGCUGUACUGAUUACGUCCCUGCCCUUUGUACACACCGCCCGUCGCUCCUACCGAUUGAACGUUCCGAUGAAUACCAUGGAUUGAGAGUCUGGAUGGGUUCGCCUAUUUCUGCUUCUCGAGAAGUGGAGUAAAUCUUAGCGUUUAGAGGAAGGAGAAGUCGUAACA
rnacentral:rRNA from 1 species